GGUUGCGGACAGUGUCUGGUGGGUAGUUUGACUGGGGCGGUCUCCUCCUAAAGAGUAACGGAGGAGCACGAAGGUUGGCUAAUCCUGGUCGGACAUCAGGAGGUUAGUGCAAUGGCAUAAGCCAGCUUGACUGCGAGCGUGACGGCGCGAGCAGGUGCGAAAGCAGGUCAUAGUGAUCCGGUGGUUCUGAAUGGAAGGGCCAUCGCUCAACGGAUAAAAGGUACUCCGGGGAUAACAGGCUGAUACCGCCCAAGAGUUCAUAUCGACGGCGGUGUUUGGCACCUCGAUGUCGGCUCAUCACAUCCUGGGGCUGAAGUAGGUCCCAAGGGUAUGGCUGUUCGCCAUUUAAAGUGGUACGCGAGCUGGGUUUAGAACGUCGUGAGACAGUUCGGUCCCUAUCUGCCGUGGGCGCUGGAGAACUGAGGGGGGCUGCUCCUAGUACGAGAGGACCGGAGUGGACGCAUCACUGGUGUUCGGGUUGUCAUGCCAAUGGCACUGCCCGGUAGCUAAAUGCGGAAGAGAUAAGUGCUGAAAGCAUCUAAGCACGAAACUUGCCCCGAGAUGAGUUCUCCCUGACUCCUUGAGAGUCCUGAAGGAACGUUGAAG
rnacentral:rRNA from 1 species